AUUGAACGCUGGCGGCAGGCCUAACACAUGCAAGUCGAGCGAGCGGCGGACGGGUGAGUAAUAUCUGGGAAACUGCCUGAUGGAGGGGGAUAACUACUGGAAACGGUAGCUAAUACCGCAUACCAUCAGAUGUGCCCAGAUGGGUGUAGCUGGGGGGUGGGGUAACGUCUCACAUAGGUGACGAUCCCGAGCUGGAAGGAGAGGAUGACCAGCAAAACUGGAAUGGGGCCCCGGUCCGAAUUCCUACGGGGGGCAGAAGUGGGAAAUAUUGCACAAUGGGGGAAAGCCUGAUGCGGCCCGGCCGCGUGUGUGAAGAAGGCUUUCGGGUUGUAAAGCACUUUAAGCGGGGAGGCGUUACCCGAAGAAGAAGCACCGGCUAACUCCGUGCCAGCAGCCGCGGUAAUAC
rnacentral:rRNA from 1 species